AAUAAUAAAUAAAAAGGAGAAACAUGGGAGCGCCCCAGAAGUGAGGAGGUUUUGAACAUCAUCUCGCGUUCUGGAGGUUAGUGAGUCAAUGGGCCGCCUACCCACGCCACUCCAGUCUCCUCCAAUUCGUUUUUCUGUAAGUGGCUUCUUCUCCAAUUCGUUUUCUGCAUCAGAUUUUUCCUCCCCAGAGAACUGAAGAUUUUGCUUCUCUUUAAUUUUCUACUACAAGAAGGAACCGAGUAAAAGGAAUUUUCUACCAUCAAAUUUGAGCGAGUUAGGUGGUCUCUGUAAUUUGAGCAAGUUAGGAAUUUUCUACCAUCGAAUUUGAGGAAGUGAGUCGGAGAAUGGUUUUUAAGAUUCUCAGUUGCCAAGUGUUGCUGCCUAGGUGUUUGAUGAAAUGCCAGAACGCGAUUUUGGGUCCCUAAAUGGAGAGGAUCCAUCUCAGCUUCGGUAAUCCUGCGCCUAUUGAGGGUGGCGAGGAGGCAGGGAGGCGGGGGGGCAGUGCAGAGGUGAGGGAAUAUGAUAUCUCUCUAUUUUUUUGGUUCUGUUAAGGUCUUGAUGUUGAUGGAGCAAAAUGUAACUGAAGAUGCCUGAAGAAGUGCCAAGCAAGAACUCAAUGCAUAGUCUGCACCUGAACUUCAAUGCGUAUAUAUAUGUGGAUGUACAUAUAUGCAUGCAUAUGUUGACUAUCAUGAUGGCGUUGAAUAUAUGAAUUGGUAGCUCGAGCAUUUACUGUACCACUCAGGAAGUAUACUCAUGAGAUAUUGACUCUUUGGUUAGAUGUCACUUGGGGUUUCCCUCCAUACUGGGUUUGGAAUUGUUACAAAGAAACAAGUGAGGACAACGUCGAGGUAGUCGAGCUAUCGUCUGUAUGCUUUCUGAAUGUGAGAGGACAAUUCAAGAUGUCAGAGCUCUCAGCAGGAGUUGUUUAUGUGGGUGGCCCGAAGAAGUGCCAAGCAAGAACUCCAUGCAUAGUGUGCACCUGAACUUCAAUGCAUAUAUACAUAUGUGGAUGUACAUACAUGUAUGCAUAUGCUGACUUUCAUGAUGGUGUUCAAUAUAUGAAUUGCUAGCUCGAGUGUUUACUGUACCACUCAGGCUCAUGAGAUAUUGGCCCUUUGGUAUAGGACUCCUGUAGUCCUUCUGUGAGCUACACAUUACUGUUGGCUGUAUAUUUGCUGAACUUGUAACGAAACAAGCACUCUUCUCUGGAGAUUCUGAACUGCAGCAGCUCCUACAUAUAUUCAGGUGCUCCAAAUGAACAAGUGUGGCCAGGUAUAAACAAAUCAUGAACUGGCAUGAAUACCCCCAGUGGAGCCCUCAAAGUUUGUCCAAGGAUGUCCCCAAUUUGGAUGAGAUGGGGUUGGAUUUUUUGUUGGUAUGUCAGUUUGCUUUACUCAAAGUGGUUGUUUGGUGCUCUGUUAUUCUUCGUUGGAGGUAAUACCUGCUGUAAUUUAAAUGUUUAUGCUUGCAGCAGCAAAUGUUGCAAAAUGAGCCUGCAAAACGCAUUUCAGCAAAGAAAGCUAUGUAACACCCUUACUUUUAUUUUUUUUCCUCCAGCAGUUUUGCACUUGUGUUAAAUCUUAUGAUCCGUAUUGCUUUUAGCCUAAAUUUAUAGUCGGCAGUACAGACUCUCAGUUUAAAUAUCUAUUAAUUUGAGCUUUGAAUAUUACUUUUAGGAAUAUUGGGAUUCCAAAAAUCUAAUGCCAAAAUAAAUUAUUCAUUGGGCAAACGACAGUGAAAAAUAAAAAUACAGCUCCAAUUAAUUUUUUUCAUCAGAGCAGCAUCAACUCUCGUUUGAUACAAUUAACAAUGGAGGCUGAUCAACUGCAUCCAUCCUCGGACCCAAAAAAAAAAAAAAAAACUGCAUCCAUCCUGUCCAAAUCCUUGCAGUUACUUGACAUCAAUCAUCAUUUUCGCUCCCUUAAUACAGUUAGUUUUAUUUACAGCUACGAAGUAGAUUGUGCCUUGCUGUAGUACCACAAGAUCGUUUCCUGAUCCGUAAACUCUCGGGGUCCGGUCUAAAGCGAUGUUACAGUUCUUAUACAUUACGCAUUGCUAUUCUUAAGAGCAACAACUUUUUUUUAAAAAUGAUUUCUUUAUUAUCUCAAAUUAAGAACAAUAAUGUUUAUAUGAUUUCUUUAUUAUCUGAGCUAUGAAAUUUGAUAUUAUUGAUAAUGAAGUGAUUAUGAAAAUAUUUCAAGAGAUGAAUGAUUGUGAAUGUAUUGGAAUAACAUAUAUGAGUUAUUACUAAAGACUUUGUAUUAUUAGAUAAAUUUAUCUUGUUUUGCGAUGAUUCUAUUAUUUGAGGUUGACCCUCCUUGAUUAAUUUUCUGGCUCUGCCCUUGCUGAUAGGUCCCAAUCACAAGUGGUUCUGUUCCUGUGGAACCAUACCAAGGGAGGAAACUCAAAGAGAACCUUCUUCUGCUGUGUAGUUUGGAUAACGGGUGCUUGUUUAUAGAAAAAUAUUCUCUCUUCCGCUCAAUAUAUUAUUUGAGAAUAUCAUGGUACGGGUAAUGCGUUUCCUCCUCAAAUUGAAUAUAUAGAAAACGGAGAACAAAAUAUGGAUUAGAGAUGAGAAUAUACCAACUUUUCGACACACACUUGGAGAAACGACAGGCUUGCUGCGAUUCUAAUUUGGGUAUAAUUAGUAUGACAUUUUCAUUAAUUUUCUUUUCAUUUAUUUCCGUUUGUUUUUUAUUUAAUUUUUUGGUUUUAAAAAGAUGAUUGAUACAUGCUGUAAGAAGCAAAGCGAGAAGAAGUUCACUAGCAAUGUUGUUUUGUCCACUAGAGGGAAGAAUUUUUUGGUUACGCUACGUUACUGUUACUUGUUUUGUUCACUAAUAUCAAAUUAGAGGCUUCAAUCAUUCACGUAA